rnacentral:misc_RNA from 1 species
AAAGAAUAUUAUUGUCGAAUUUUAUUGUUAGUGUUCCAUUGUUGAAAACAUUCGAUUCAGAGGUGGAAAAUGAAUUCAGACAAGAUGGUAUGCUCUUAACACAAGUUUGAGCUGGAGAAAACUACAUCAUAAUCUCCAGACUGACCUCAUUAUUUACUUAGUAACAACGUUGUUCAGAAAAUUUUACCACCAGGAAUCAAGCACAAUCCAAGAAAUAAUUCGGAAUUAUUUGGACUACAUGAACCUACACCAUUGUAAAUCAUGGAGAAAACUACUGUAUACCAUAAUUCACAGACUGACUCAUUAUUUACUUAGUAACAAUGUUGUUCAGAAAAUUUUACCACCAGGAAUCAAGCACAAUCCAAGAAUUAAUUCGGAAUUAUCUGGCCUACAUGAACCUACACCAUUGUAAAUUAUUUUGAUACUGAAAAAUUCUGUAACAUUACUAUAUAUAAAUUUUAAUUAAUUUAAAAAUAAAAUUAACU